rnacentral:rRNA from 1 species
UUCCAUGACCAAAUCACCCAGAAUAUACCAAAUCUCAUCAGAUCUCAGAAGCUAAGCGGGGUUGAGCCUGGACAGUGCCUGUGGAUGGGCGAUCAUCAAACACACCAGGUUGUUUUGGCCU